GCGUCUUUCCCGGUCGUUAGGCUGUUAGCAAUAAGUACUGGUGUUGGCGUGCCAAAUACUGUCAUGUGAUUGAGAAUCCUAUAUGUGGAAGAGAUCGUCGGCUCAAACGGUACCAAGUAUUUCAGUGCGAGUGUACUAUGUACAAGCACAAUUGUGAAGCUGGCCAUGAUUUUACCGCAACGAGAGAUAACGUAAACAAGUGUUUGAAACGUAAACGUUAAAUAAAAUUAUCCAUCCAUAUAAUCGUUUUUCAUUUAUUUGCAUUAUAAUUAACAGUUAUGCAUACAUUUUCUUGUGAUUAGUUGUUUAAUUAAACAGUGUUUAACAAAUUACAAUGUUGAAUAGAAGUAUUCCUUUGUUAUUGGUUAUCUUUUAUUCUCAAUUUUCAAACGGUAAAAGGGAUGAUAAAGAUCAAUUCGAUGACCCUCGCCUAGUGAAGAAUUUUGCUUUGUAUCACUGCUACAAAUGGAAGAUUUGUACCCCAGCAUCAGACUUCAAAAUCUGUGGCUAUGAUCAGAAAACCAGUAAUCUAGCUGAGUUUGAAGAUCGUUGUACUCUUCAUAAAGUGAAUUGUGAUGGGA